rnacentral:rRNA from 1 species
GAUGAACGCUGGCGGCGUGCCUAAUACAUGCAAGUCGAGCGAACGGACGAGAAGCUUGCUUCUCUGAUGUUAGCGGCGGACGGGUGAGUAACACGUGGAUAACCUACCUAUAAGACUGGGAUAACUUCGGGAAACCGUAGCUAAUACCGGAUAAUAUUUUGAACCGCAUGGUUCAAAAGUGAAAGACGGUCUUGCUGUCACUUAUAGAUGGAUCCGCGCUGCAUUAGCUAGUUGGUAAGGUAACGGCUUACCAAGGCAACGAUGCAUAGCCGACCUGAGAGGGGGCGAGGCCAAGCGGGAAAGAGGAACGGGUCCAAACACGAAGGGGAGGACGAGGGGGGAAAUUUUCGGGAAGGGGGAAAAGCGUAACGGAGAAACGCCGGGGGAGUGAGGAAGGUCUUGGGAGCGUAAACCUUUUUUUUGGGGGAAGAAAAAAUGUGUAAGAAACGGGGCAACUUUGGACGGUACCAAAGCAAAAAGCCACGGCUAACUCGGG